AUUGAACGCUGGCGGCAUGCUUUACACAUGCAAGUCGAACGGUAACAGGCCGCAAGGUGCUGACGAGUGGCGAACGGGUGAGUAAUGCAUCGGAACGUGCCCAGUCGUGGGGGAUAACGCAGCGAAAGCUGUGCUAAUACCGCAUACGAUCUAUGGAUGAAAGCGGGGGAUCGCAAGACAUCGCGCGAUUGGAGCGGCCGAUAUCAGAUUAGGUAGUUGGUGGGGUAAAGGCUCACUAAGCCGACGAUCUGUAGCUGGUCUGAGAGGCCGACCAGCCACACUGGGACUGAGACACGGCCCAGACUCCUACGGGAGGCAGCAGUGGGGAAUUUUGGACAAUUGGCGAAAGCCUGAUCCAGCCAUGCCGCGUGCAGGAUGAAGGCCUUCGGGUUGUAAACUGCUUUUGUACGGAACGAAAAGGUUUGGCCUAAUAAGCUGAGCUCAUGACGGUACCGUAAGAAUAAGCACCGGCUAACUCUGUGCCAGCAGCCGCCGUAA
rnacentral:rRNA from 1 species